rnacentral:lncRNA from 1 species
CUCCCGGGUUCAAGCGAUUCUCCUGCCUCAGCCUUCCGAGUAGCUGGGAUUACAGGCAUGAGCCACCUCGCCCGGCCUUCCGGCUGAUAUCUUAAAAGAACUUUUCAACUUUAGUAAAUACCCUGUCUUAAUCAAAUCUCAUUAAAAGUACCCCAUAUUUAUCAACAAAACAUGAAAAUCCUUGGACGGCUUCAAAGUUCUUACAGAAAAUAUUCUGCCUUUCCUUUCCAUACAAAGGCACAGCUUCGAAACUGGUAGGUGAAGGGAAGGAAAAUAAGGAAUUCUGUUACGAAAUCAUACAGGCUGUUAUUUGGAAAUACAGAAGGGUGUAUGUACUAUAUGGGAUACUGCAUGCUAUUUGGAAGAAUUUUGUUUAUUUAAACAUUUCAGCAAAUUCCUCAGUUUUGAUAUGGGGUGCAGUAUUUUUAACUCAUUGAGAAAUUUCUACUAACUUUUUUGAAUGUGCUCUUUUCCCACUAGUUGCACUAAGGAAAGAGGUUAGUCAUGUGGUAAAAUUAAUAGUGACAAAGCUGUAAAUAGCUCUGCAGGCCAAGGUAGCCAUAGUAAGAAGUCCUGGAGAUUUAUGGAAGAAAUUUUUGUUCAUGGAAGCCUGUCAGACAUGAAGAUGUGGGUCUUGUGAAUUGGAGAUUCAGUGCGUGAGGAAAACAGCCUAACUAUCCAUAAUUAAGCUACUGGAAUUCAGUACGUGAGGACUUGGACUUGGUGGGCACAGAAUGCAUCUUUUUAUAUCAUUAAAUCCACCAGAACAUCUAGCAUGGUCAUUUGCCUAAAACAAAGCCUCUGGAAAUUUAGUCAAGUUGAGAUGUAAAAUAAAAGAUUACUGAACAGAA